AAAGUACUCCCUCCGUCCCAAAAUUCUUGUCUUAGAUUUGUCUAGAUACGGAUGUAUCAAGUCACAUUUUAGUAUUAUAUACAUCCAUAUCUAGACAAAUCUAAGACAAGAAAUUUGGGACAGAGGGAGUAGUUG
rnacentral:pre_miRNA from 1 species